rnacentral:rRNA from 1 species
AUUGAACGCUGGCGGCAUGCCUUACACAUGCAAGUCGAACGGCAGCACGGGAGCAAUCCUGGUGGCGAGUGGCGAACGGGUGAGUAAAGUAUCGGAACGUGCCCAGUCGUGGGGGAUAACGUAGCGAAAGUUACGCUAAUACCGCCUACGUUCUAUGGAUGAAAGCGGGGGAUCGCAAGACCUCGCGCGAUUGGAGCGGCCGAUAUCCGAUUAGGUAGUUGGUAGGGUAAAGGCUCACCAAGCCGACGAUCUGUAGCUGGUCUGAGAGGACGACCAGCCACACUGGGACUGAGACACGGCCCAGACUCCUACGGGAGGCAGCAGUGGGGAAUUUUGGACAAUGGGCGAAAGCCUGAUCCAGCCAUGCCGCGUGCAGGAUGAAGGCCUUCGGGUUGUAAACUGCUUUUGUACGGAACGAAAAGGUUUGGGCUAAUAAGCUGAGCUCAUGACGGUACCGUAAGAAUAAGCACCGGCUAACUACGUGCCAGCCGCCGCGGUAA